rnacentral:rRNA from 1 species
UACGAAGGGUGCAAGCGUUGCUCGGAAUCACUGGGCGUAAAGCGUGCGUAGGCGGAUUAUUAAGUCAGAUGUGAAAUCCCGAGGCUCAACCUCGGAACUGCAUUUGAAACUGGUAGUCUAGAGUAUGGGAGAGGAUAGUGGAAUUCCUAGUGUAGAGGUGAAAUUCGUAGAUAUUAGGAGGAACACCAGUGGCGAAGGCGACUGUCUGGCCCAUUUCUGACGCUCAGGCACGAAAGCGUGGGGAGCAAAC